CCCGGUUCGCCGGGACGAAAUGUGGUCGGAAUUUCCGACUGAAUCGCAAG
ncrna:unclassified sequences eL15-Euryarchaeota ribosomal protein leader